CCCUUAGAUGUUCUGGGCCGCACGCGCGCUACACUGAUGCAUUCAACGAGCCUAUCCUUGACCGACAGGUCCGGGUAAUCUUUGAAUCUGCAUCGUGACUGGGAUAGAUUAUUGCAAUUAUUAAUCUUCAACGAGGAAUGCCUAGUAGGCGCAAGUCAUCAGCUUGCGUCGAUUACGUCCCUGCCCUUUGUACACACCGCCCGUCGCUCCUACCGAUUGGGUGUGCUGGUGAAAUGUUCGGAUCGGCCGUUUGUCGCGGUUUCCGCGUCAUGUGGCUGAGAAGUUCAUUAAACCCUCCCACCUAGAGGAAGGAGAAGUCGUAACA
rnacentral:rRNA from 1 species